GAUGAACGCUGACAGCAUGCUUAACACAUGCAAGUCUUUGGCGAAUCUGUGCUUGCACCGGCUAGCCAAGGCGGACGGGUGAGUAACGCGUAAAGAACUUGCCCUGCAGACAGGGAUAACAGACGGAAACGACUGAUAACACCUGAUACAGUUGCCGGCACGCAUGUGCCUGGCAAUGAAAAGAGAUGCUGCAGGAGAGCUUUGCGUCCUAUUAGCUUGUUGGUGAGGUGACGGCUCACCAAGGCGAUGAUAGGUAGCCGGCCUGAGAGGGUGAACGGCCACAAGGGGACUGAGAUACGGCCCUUACUCCUACGGGAGGCAGCAGUGGGGAAUAUUGGACAAUGGGGGCAACCCUGAUCCAGCAAUUCUGUGUGCACGAAGAAGGUUUUCGGAGUGUAAAGUGCUUUCAGCAGGGAAGAAGAAAGUGACGGUACCUGCAGAAGAAGCGACGGCUAAAUACGUG
rnacentral:rRNA from 1 species